CCUUUACAGGUUUCCUGUUGCCUGCAUGAGUCAGCUUAUAUCUGUCAGUGUGACAUACCGGACAUGCGUCAAGACCACCAAGGUUAUUCCCUUCUGGAUCUUUACCCCAAAAGAGAACGCAGUCAUAUCUGCAUGCAUGGAUCUUGAUGUAGGAAAGCCCAAGAUCUUUCAGGAUAUAUCGGACCUUAUGAUGAGUGGUAGGAAGACGAUGACCGUGAGGCAGCAUCGAAGCAGUGUACUGUAGAUAAUCAUUAACAGCUUUCACAGUCGAUUUAGUCUCAACUUUAAUCUUCAUUACGUCCAUCACACUUUCAAGAACGGUCUUCUGACAACCGGGGUACACAAGGGUCUGUUGGAAAGCAAGCAGUUUGUUGUACUUGUCAAUACUAACAGUGUUGACAGCUCUAAGGAAGGGCUGCACCGGGUCAGGCAUAUACUGUCCUUGAGCGCAUACACCGCUCUCAUAAGGAAACAUGUCGUUGAUGAAGACCGUUGUUGGAUCGUUGGAUGUACUGCCCGUCUCAGAAAAUUGGCCAUGAUCAUGCGGACCCCCAGAUGAUGUUUCACCGUGAUAUAACCAACAUGUGUACUUCUCCCAAAACCCGUUACUCUUUAGGUGCUGCCAUACUUUGUCAAUCGCAAAUCGAUGCAUAUCGUUGCGACACUGACAUUUCGUGCACGGGCAAUAGAAAAUUGUAUUCCCGUUAGCAUUAGCCAGCGCAUAUUCCAGAAAACUCAUAAUUCCUUUACCAUAUCUUUUGUCCCAUUUUGGAAGCGAAAUCCAACUCUUAUCCAUAUCCUGAAAAUAUAACAAAAUAUAUAUGUAUAACGCUAGCUAAUUAUUAAUUAAAUUUUAUGCCAUAUAUAAAAUUUUAAUUCAUUUAUAUAUAUUCUACGUACUACAACUAAUUAAUUGAUAACAAAUUAAUUAACACAUAUAUAUAUAUAUAGAUAUACUUAAUUAAUAAUUACAUAACAAUAUUAUAUAUAUCAACAUCAUCACCAAAUCAUCAUCAACAACUUCAUACCAUCAACACAAUAUUAUAAAUUAAUUAAUAUAUAUAUAUAUCUACUACUUAUUAACAACAACUUCAUAUAUAUUAUCAAAUCAUCAACCAAAUCGAUCAACACACACACAUAUAUAUAUACAUCAAACGUACUCAAAAUCUAUCAAUUCAAUCACACUCAAAAUCGAUCAACUCAAAUAAAACUCAAAAUCAACAUAUAUACACAUGUACGUACCUAUAUAUAGCUCCACUUCUUAAUUAUGAACAGAUUUCAACAACACCCAAACUUUUUCUCCUGUUUUUUCUUCUCCCGUUUUUUUUUCUCAGAUGAGCUGCUGUCCAAAUCUGCGAAUAUAAAGAACUUCAGCCGACGAAAUUUAUUUUCGUCGGCUAUAGUCAACUUUAGCCGACGAAAUUUUAAUUUCGUCGGCUAAAGAAUGUUUAAAGUCAUCUGCUAAAGUCACAGACUUUAGCCGACGAAAAUAAAUUCUUUAGCCGACGAAAAUAUAAUUUAGCCGACGAAAAAUUGAUUCGUCGGCCUGGUUUUUUUUUUUUCGUCAGCUAAAGUCUUUCUUCUGAUAGUGUAUUUUAACUUUUAGAGAACGUGUUUAUUUAUUUAUUUAUUUAUUUAUUUAUUUUUGGAUCUCCAACAGACUAGUCAAAGUUCAACUAUUAUGACUUUUAACUAUCUCGUUAGCUAAAUAUAGAGAGCGAGAUGAGUCAGAUGAGACUAGCUAUAAUUUAAU
rnacentral:lncRNA from 1 species